AUAAAACACCCGGUAAUUUAUUACAGAAGCUCUAUGGUCUAUGACAACUUAGCAUUCAAAGCAAUAUAUUCACAAAUAUGCAUUGCUCCAGAGAUGCAAACUCUGAUAACCCCAACUGUACAAAUAGGACCAAGAGGUCAUCGGCGUUUCUCUUUACAGCUUUGUUAAGAAAAAGGACUGAAACGGUGUCCAUUGAUGAGAUGGGAGAGGAGUUGGGUCGUUGAACCUCCUCAGCUGGUUGGGAGAGCAGAAAGUUCUCCCUCUUGGGCUGGGAGAGCAAAAGGUUUCCCUUUGGGUUGGGGUUGUGGAUGGUUUCCCUUUGGGUUGGGUUGUGGAUGGUUUCCCUUUGGGUUGGGAGAGAGGAAGGUUUCCCUUUGGGUUGGCCACAUGGAAGGUUUCCCUUUGGGUUGGCAACGUGGAAGGUUUCCUUUUGGGUUGGGAGAGCAGAAGGUUUUCCCUUUGGGUUGGGAAUGUGGAUGGUUUCCCUUUGGGUUGGGAGAGCAGAAGGUUUUCCCUUUGGGUUGGGGUUGUGGAUGGUUUUCCCUUUGGGUUGGGGUUGUGGAUGGUUUCCCUUUGGGUUGGGAGAGCAGAAGGUUUUCCCUUUGGGUUGGGGUUGUGGAAGGUUUCCCUUUGGGUUGGGAGAGCAGAAGGUUUUCCCUUUGGGUUGGGGUUGUGGAUGGUUUCCCUUUGGGUUGGGGUUGUGGAAGGUUUCCCUUUGGGUUAGGAUCUCCUCUCCUCUCCCCGUGUCUCUGCAGUGGGUGGAAAUCACUGCCAAUUGCUGCCCUCGUGCAGCAUUUUGCACUGCUGCCCAAAUUGCAUGCAGAUUUCCUCCACCUUUGACUGUAACGCCAUCCCAUAGCGCACAGUUAUCCCCAGGAAUGGUGUAGGAAGACUCUCCUACAUGUGUGUGUCACGAGAUGGCACUGUAGGACCGAGUUCCUAUUUUUGUGCAGAAAAUCUGCUGCAGGGAGGCAGAAAUUGGGGCGAUCCCCGCAGAGGUGGGAUGGAGACCCAGCAAGUUGGGGUGCCCCUCUUGUAGGGUGUUGUAGGGUGAAGAGAACCCUCUCAUCCACCACGGGUUCCUCCCCUUCGUGACAAUGCCAGCAUCACAAGUAGUGCAGAGGCUGAAGAUCCACGCAGAGCCAAAUAGCUGGGAGAAAUGGGAGCCGUGUGGCAGCUCUUACACUCUAUCUGGCAGUGCGUUUCCCCUUUACACGCGGCUUCGUGCUGCCGAACCAAUGGAAACUCCAGCAGCACCCGGAGCAGAACGGUCAGCCUGGAUGACCUCAGUGGUCUUUUCCAACCUCCGCGAUCCCACGAUUCCGUCGGGACCGUCUGUGUUUCCUUCACUCCCGUUGUGCUUCCCGGGAAAGGCGUUGGGUUUGAGUUGGAUUUCUCAA
rnacentral:lncRNA from 7 species